rnacentral:rRNA from 1 species
GACGAACGCUGGCGGCGUGCCUAAUACAUGCAAGUCGAACGCAGUGGGGACGGUUGAGUAACACGUGGGUAACCUCCCAUCAGAGGGGAUAACACUUCGAAACACGUGCUAAACCGAUACUGAUGGAUGGUCCCGCGGGGCAUUAGCUAGUUGGUGAGGUAACGGCUAACCAAGGCCACGAUGCAUAGCCGGCCGGAGAGGGGGAUCAGCCACACUGGGACUGAGACACGGCCCAGACUCCUACGGGAGGCAGCAGUGGGGAAUAUUCGGCAAUGGGCGAAAGUCUGACCGAGCCACGCCGCGUGAGUGAAGAAGGUUUUCGGAUCGUAAAAUUCUGUUGUUAGAGAAGCGGUAUCGACAGAGAAAGCCACGGCUAACUACGUGCCAGCAGCCGCGGUAAUAC